GAUGAACGCUGGCGGCGUGCUUAACACAUGCAAGUCGAACGAAGCACUUUAUUAUGAUUUCUUCGGAAUGACGAUUUAGUGACUGAGUGGCGGACGGGUGAGUAACGCGUGGGUAACCUGCCUUAUACAGGGGGAUAACAGUUAGAAAUGACUGCUAAUACCGCAUAAGCGCACAGGAUUGCAUGAUCUGGUGUGAAAAACUCCGGUGGUAUAAGAUGGACCCGCGUCUGAUUAGCUGGUUGGUGAGGUAACGGCCCACCAAGGCGACGAUCAGUAGCCGACCUGAGAGGGUGACCGGCCACAUUGGGACUGAGACACGGCCCAAACUCCUACGGGAGGCAGCAGUGGGGAAUAUUGCACAAUGGGGGAAACCCUGAUGCAGCGACGCCGCGUGAGCGAAGAAGUAUUUCGGUAUGUAAAGCUCUAUCAGCAGGGAAGAAAAAAAUGACGGUACCUGACUAAGAAGCCCCGGCUA
rnacentral:rRNA from 1 species